rnacentral:rRNA from 1 species
CCUACGGGAGGCAGCAGUGGGGAAUCUUCCGCAAUGGGCGCAAGCCUGACGGAGUGACGCCGCGUGGGGGACGAAGGCCUUCGGGUCGUAAACCCCGUCAGAGGGAAAGAAGGCGGCGGCGGUGAACAGCCGACGCCGUUGACGGUACCUUCAGAGGAAGCCCCGGCCAACUCUGUGCCAGUAGCCGCGGUAAGACAGAGGGUGCAAGCAUUAAUCGGAUUCAUUGGGCGUAAAGGGGGCGUAGGCGGUUGUGACAGCCAGAUGUGAAAUCCCGGGGCUCAACCCCGGAACUGCAUUUGGAACUACACAUCUAGAGGAUAGGCGGAGAAAACAGAAUUCCACAUGUAGCGGUGAAAUGCGUAGAUAUGUGGAAGAAUACCGGUGGCGAAGGCGGUUUUCUAGCUUAUACCUGACGCUGAGGCCCGAAAGCUAGGGGAUCA